rnacentral:lncRNA from 1 species
CUUAUGGCGAUAUAACUUGUCACGUGUCGUCACUUGCCGGCUUUGAUUCGAGCGAGAAACGUUUGCGUGCUAGCCCGAUUUCUUACGCCGUGCCGUGUCUGAGCGCGUGUGUGUUCAUUAAUGAGAAUGAGGCAUGCACAAUCUUAAGUAUACGUGAUAUGAGGUGGUGUUAUUUGCUGACAAUCGACAUUGGCCCCCACUUUGCGAACUGAAAUGUAGCUGUGAAGAUUGCGUGUAUUCGAAUACGAAACGACGAUACGUGUAUGAAGCGAAUGAAUGGACACAAGCAAUUCUUUUCUCAAUCCGACGAGAGUCCUCGGUUGGAACAAGUAGUGAAGAAGUUAUCCGGGAUAGGAUAUAUUAAACAAGAGAGACCCAGAUGGACCCAGGCAUCUAAAAGGCCGGGCAAUGAAGUUCGUAUCGACUGUACUGGAAGUUCACUGAUUUGUAUGCCCUUCAAGGUACAGGGUUUACCACUUUUAUGACUCUUAACGCUCCAGCCUGAGGUUGAACGAUUGUUUCCAGGAUGUGGCCCUGAUAAGAGCCGCGAUAAUCUUUUGUGAACGUACUGACCAUGGGAUUAGUGACAAGAAGGGGCCAGUAAAUGAUCACACGAAGGUCUUAUUGUCAGCUGGGUGCUUGGAUACGUUGGAACCAAUUUUUAUUACGUCUGCCAAAAACUUAUCGAGAUGUGAAUCACGAAGAGUUACAAAUGGUACUUUACUUAUCUUAAGACUCUAAUUUAUAGUUAAUAUCAAGUGUUUCGAUGUGCCAAAUGCUCACGAUUAGUAUAGAUAAGAAUUUUUGUUUGAAUCGCGUUAUUUUGACUUACAAAGUUGCAAAAUGACUAUAAAACUUCGUGAAGGAGUUUUGGUUUCUGAUAUGGUUAUAUUUAACUGUCGAUAUUUGUACUGAUAAAUACGCCUCUCAAAAUCCGAUACAAAAAAAAAGUAGGCGAAUUAGUAUGAAAUUCGCGUAACGAGUCAUUGUCAUUAGGUAUAUACAUAGAAUUUUUAACCAGAUAUGGAAUGAAUACUUCUUCACAGACUGAUUGAAAUUGAUACACCUACCGAUUUCUUUUAGUUUUGUUUGUUAGAAUUUUAUUUGCCGAUUCAGUAAUGAAUAAUUAUAUAAAUAAGUUAUGUGUGAUACCUAAC